GGAAAGGCGCGCGAUACAGGGUGACAGCCCCGUACACAAAAAUGCACAUGCUGUGAGCUCGAUGAGUAGGGCGGGACACGUGGUAUCCUGUCUGAAUAUGGGGGGACCAUCCUCCAAGGCUAAAUACUCCUGACUGACCGAUAGUGAACCAGUACCGUGAGGGAAAGGCGAAAAGAACCCCGGCGAGGGGAGUGAAAAAGAACCUGAAACCGUGUACGUACAAGCAGUGGGAGCACGCUUAGGCGUGUGACUGCGUACCUUUUGUAUAAUGGGUCAGCGACUUAUAUUCUGUAGCAAGGUUAACCGAAUAGGGGAGCCGAAGGGAAACCGAGUCUUAACUGGGCGUUAAGUUGCAGGGUAUAGACCCGAAACCCGGUGAUCUAGCCAUGGGCAGGUUGAAGGUUGGGUAACACUAACUGGAGGACCGAACCGACUAAUGUUGAAAAAUUAGCGGAUGACUUGUGGCUGGGGGUGAAAGGCCAAUCAAACCGGGAGAUAGCUGGUUCUCCCCGAAAGCUAUUUAGGUAGCGCCUCGUGAAUUCAUCUCCGGGGGUAGAGCACUGUUUCGGCAAGGGGGUCAUCCCGACUUACCAACCCGAUGCAAACUGCGAAUACCGGAGAAUGUUAUCACGGGAGACACACGGCGGGUGCUAACGUCCGUCGUGAAGAGGGAAACAACCCAGACCGCCAGCUAAGGUCCCAAAGUCAUGGUUAAGUGGGAAACGAUGUGGGAAGGCCCAGACAGCCAGGAUGUUGGCUUAGAAGCAGCCAUCAUUUAAAG
rnacentral:rRNA from 1 species